GCAGUAAUUACCCAGAGACCAAAAACCAAACACACAAUGGAUUUUAGGGUCCAGAUUUUCAGCUUUCUGCUAGUCAGUGUCACAGUCACAGUGUCCAGUGGAGAAAUUGUACUCACUCAGUCUCCAACAAUUAUCACUGCAUCUCCAGGGGAGACGGUCACCAUGACCUGCAGUGCCAGUUCAAGUAUAAGUUCCCGUUACUUGCACUGGUACCAGCAGAAGUCAAGCACUUCCCCCAAACUCUGGAUUUAUAGAACAUCCAAUCUGGCUUCUGGAGUUCCAAAUCGCUUCAGUGGCAGUGGGUCUGGUACCUCUUACUCUCUCACAAUCAGCACCAUGGAGGCUGAAGAUGCUGCCACUUAUUACUGCCAGCAGUCAGAUAGUUCCCCUUCCACACAGUGA